UUACGGCCACAUCACCUUGAAACAUUGUUACCCGUACAAUCACGGAAGUUAAGCUACAUCGAGCCUGGCCACUACCUAGAUAGGUGACCGCUUGGGAAUGCCAGGUUCUGUA